AUUGUGUUCUGGGAAUAUGUGAACAAAUACUAAUCACUUGACUACUUUAAUAUAACAUAAGUCAAUUUGUUCCAAUACAUUUGGUCCCUUAAAAUGGAGGGACGAUGUACAAAAAGUGCUGUAAUUUGUAACGGUUCACCGAUAUGAAUGAAAAUACCCUCAAAUGAAAGCUGACAGUCUGCACAUUUAACCUUGGUGUCAUUGUGUCAUAAAUCCAAAGUGUUUGAGUAAAGAGCCAGAACAACAUGUGCUGCUGUCCUAAUGCUUUUGGAGCUCACUGUACUUCGUCUCACGAGCAUGUAGCCUAAUAGUCUAAUGACGACUACACUCAAUAUACAAAAAUGCUUUCAUGGAUUGAACUAAGAAUCUAAUUAUUUGAUGGAGGGAACUGGCCUUGCUCUAGGUUAAUGGUGAGGGAACUGGCCUUGCUCUAGGUUAAUGGUGAGGGAACUGGCCUUGCUCUAGGUUAAUGGUGGAGGGAUCUGGCCUUGCUCUAGGUUAAUGGUGGAGGGUUCUGGCCUUGCUCUAGGUUAAUGGUGAGGGAUCUGGCCUUGCUCUAGGUUAAUGGUGGAGGGUUCUGGCCUUGCUCUAGGUUAAUGGUGAGGGAUCUGGCCUUGCUCUAGGUUAAUGGUGGAGGGAACUGGCCUUGCUCUAGGUUAAUGGUGAGGGAUCUGGCCUUGCUCUAGGUUAAUGGUGAGGGAACUGGCCUUGCUCUAGGUUAAUGGUGGAGGGAUCUGGCCUUGCUCUAGGUUAAUGGUGAGGGAACUGGCCUUGCUCUAGGUUAAUGGUGAGGGAACUGGCCUUGCUCUAGGUUAAUGGUGGAGGGAUCUGGCCUUGCUCUAGGUUAAUGGUGGAGGGAUCUGGCCUUGCUCUAGGUUAAUGGUGGAGGGAUCUGGCCUUGCUCUAGGUUAAUGGUGGAGGGUUCUGGCCUUGCUCUAGGUUAAUGGUGGAGGGAUCUGGCCUUGCUCUAGGUUAAUGGUGGAGGGUUCUGGCCUUGCUCUAGGUUAAUGGUGGAGGGAUCUGGCCUUGCUCUAGGUUAAUGGUGAGGGAACUGGCCUUGCUCUAGGUUAAUGGUGAGGGAACUGGCCUUGCUCUAGGUUAAUGGUGGAGGGAACUGGCCUUGCUCUAGGUUAAUGGUGAGGGAACUGGCCUUGCUCUAGGUUAAUGGUGGAGGGAACUGGCCUUGCUCUAGGUUA